rnacentral:snoRNA from 1 species
UCCCUGUGAUGAAAAGAUUCUGCCAGAUGAUUGCUCUUGAUUAUAACCCUUUACCGUUCCAUUUAUUCUGAGGUU